GUAGACCUUCAGAGAAGCAAAGGCUCAGGAUUUGCUGAGGUACUUUUGGAGUGCCUGAGAUGGAGGUACAAACUGCUGAGCUUGACUAUGUUUUUGGCACAUUUCCAUCCAAUCUAUCUUGCUUCCAUCCUGGAAGAUGAGAUUCUUUCUGGGGCAUGAACUCAAGGUUGAGCCCUCCACUCUGGGCUCCCAGCACAGUUACAGAGGCAUAAAUUUCAAAAGGAAAAAAUGUUUUUGUGGAGCACCAGCAUGUCCUUCUUUCUUAUUGUGUAUGUGAGUAUGAAAGAAGAACGUGGCAACUCUCAAAGAAUUAUUGAUUGGUGGUAGAUGGUAAUAUACAGUAAUUUUUCCUUCAAAAAAAUACAUUGUGAAUCUGAUCUUGUAGUCUAAAAGUGCCCCCUUGCCCUAAGGGAGAGUACUGAACUCAGACUGUAAGCUGUAUAAAGAGUACUGUAAGGCUUUGUCGUAUUUGUGCUUAAACAGAGAUGAAAGAAAUGUAUUUUGAAGUAAUGUUUACUGGAAAGUAUUGCACCAUGAGAAGCUGUAAAUAAAUCUAAAUCAUUGAAACA
rnacentral:lncRNA from 1 species